GGAGAACACAAAUCAAGUAAUUUUGAACUUAUUCGAAAAUAAGAUUAACCAUAAGCACAAAUUUCACCACUUCACUCGCACGUGCACACAAAAUUAUAUGUUAUGCACGCGCAUGCCCAAGAAGUGUGUCAACCUUUUGUUAUUGGGGUUAGCCAUACACUUCAAAUGUUUCGAGCAAUUCACAUAGAAUCAUCAAAUGAUACUUUUUCAAACCUGCUCCCAUUUGAGUCAAGAGAUGAAUAAAUAGAGACAUCUCAUUUCUUGGGAAGAGAAGCAAUUUACAACUGGAGUAAUAAAAAAGAUUGAAUGAAGCUUCAGUGUCCUCAAUCAACUGGUCCACUACAUCAAAUCAGAUAUCGCCGAUCAUAUCCAUUAAACCAGUCUGGACAAACACCUUGACCCUCAACCCAAAACCACCAACCACCACAAAACAAGUUGUUCAAUAACGCAUGACUAAUGGAAAACCAGAUAUCGAAAAAAAAAAAAAAUUUAUAUACCAGUCAGUAAAACAUAUCUUCGUUACUGGGUAAUUGGGGCGACCCUUGAAAAUUAGCUUAACAUUUCGAUUUUAAACACAAGCAAGGCAGAAAAAGUUGACAAAACCAACGGCAUCAUGUUUUUUAUUCCAUUGUACUGAAAGGAAGAAGAUCAUCUAUCCAUAAAAGGUAUACCAUCAAGCAGGAUCUACUAAAAAAUUGAUAAUUCGAGUUCUUUUAAAAGGUAACCACAUGACGUUAUCAGUCAGGAAAAAGGGUCACACAAUUUUUUUUAAAACAAUUAAGCUACAAAUCAAUGUCCAAUGGCAAAGCUAACAUGUGGUUAUUAAAUAAACAAAAUCGAUCAGUAAAAAGUUUCAAAUUUCAUCCUGAAGAUACGACAAAGUUUCUCUUUGGAAUCCAAUGUUCUUAUCACUUUUCAAUUACAACACAACAAUCCAACAUUCUACAGAAAAAUUACCCACAAAAUUCGAGUCAAUGUAUUAUUUCCUGGCAGUGCAAAACAGAUAAAGUUUUCUCAUAUCUACAUCACACGCAUCUCAUAACAAGUUUAAGCAUUACAAUUUACAGCAUGAGACCCAACCCCCCAGCAACGAAAAAGACAGGCAUUAGGAAGUUGUAAUUGUUCUAAAGUCAAAACCAACCACCACAAGCCACAUUUUAUAGAUCUUAAUAAUCUACCUUCCGAAGGUCAGAAGUUCGGGGGAUAGGAGGUGUGCGAUGGCGCGGCGGAGUUGGGGUAAAAGGCGGAGCAUAUAGGAAAUGGUAGGACGGAACAGAAGCUCCAUCGUCUCCACGAACCGGCUCAGGUUCCUCAUCGGCGUCACGUAGAGUGUCAGCGGCGCCGCCGCUGAUAUCACAGCCAAGAACAGAUGCAGCAUUAUUUUUCUAUAUACAAUAAUGUAUGUAUUGAUUAACAGUAGAGAAAAUGGAGGGUUUUUGUACAGAAUGAGGAAGGUGGGAUUGACACUGACUGACUCAUUGAUAGCUUU
rnacentral:lncRNA from 1 species